rnacentral:rRNA from 1 species
AGGAUUAACGCUGGCGGCGUGCCUAACACAUGCAAGUCGAACGAGGUAGCAAUACCUAGUGGCAGACGGGUGAGUAACGCGUGGUCAACCUACCGUUGAGUGGGGGAUAACUAGCCGAAAGGUUAGCUAAUACCGCAUACGUCUCCGAGGGGCAUCCCUUGGCGAUAAAAGGAGCAAUCCGCUCGAUGACGGGACCGCGUCCCAUUAGCUAGAUGGUGGGUAACGGCCUACCAUGGCACCGAUGGGUAGCUGGUUUGAGAGAGCGACCAGCCACACUGGGACUGAGAAACGGCCCAGACUCCUACGGGAGGCAGCAGUGAGGAAUUUUCCGCAAUGGGCGCAAGCCUGACGGAGCGACGUCGCGUGUGGGAAGAAGGCCUUCGGGUCGUAAACCACUGUCGAAGGGGACGAUAAUGACGGUACCCUUGGAGGAAGCCCCGGCUAACUACGCGCCAGCAGCCGC